rnacentral:rRNA from 1 species
UACGUAGGGCGCGAGCGUUGUCCGGAUUUAUUGGGCGUAAAGAGCUCGUAGGCGGUUUGUUGCGUCGGCUGUGAAAUCCCGAGGCUCAACCUCGGGUCUGCAGUCGAUACGAGCAAACUAGAGUGUUGCAGGGGAGACUGGAAUUCCUGGUGUAGCGGUGAAAUGCGCAGAUAUCAGGAGGAACACCGAUGGCGAAGGCAGGUCUCUGGGCCACUACUGACGCUGAGAAGCGAAAGCAUGGGGAGCGAACAGG